rnacentral:rRNA from 1 species
UAUCUCUGUAGAGUCUGCAUAUCAAUAAGCGGAGGAAAAGGAACUAACAAGGAUUCCCUUAGUAGCGGCGAGUGAAGCGGGAAGAGCUCAAAUUUGAAAUCUUCAAGGUUCUACCUUGACGAAUUGUAGUUUAAAGAAGUGUUUUCUGUUAGAUGAGUAGCAAAAGUUCCUUGGAAUGGGACAUCAUAGAGGGUGAGAAUCCCGUAUUUGGUUAUUCAUUCUAGCUUUGUGAUACACUUUCAAAGAGUCGGAUUGUUUGGGAAUGCAGUCCAAAAUGGGUGGUAAAUUUCAUCUAAAGCUAAAUAUUGGCGAGAGACCGAUAGCAAACAAGUACCGUGAGGGAAAGAUGAAAAGAACUUUGAAAAGAGAGUUAAACAGUACGUGAAAUUGUCAAAAGGGAAGCGUUUGACACCAGUGUUGUUUUUCCGAAAAUCAAUUACGAAUGGCUUGAUUCUGUGUUGUAUUGACCUUAUCAGCUUUCUUCACUUUUUUCGAGUCUUUCUUAAUGCACUUUUCGGUUAACAAGUCAACAUCAAUUUCUUUUGUUGUAAAAGAGUAUUCGGAAGGUGGCUUUCUUUUCGGAGAAAGUGUUUAUAGCCCUAUACUUCUACAAUCGGAGAGAUUGAGGUCUGCAGCGUAGAUCCUUCGGGGUUAGACACACUUGUGCUAAGUUGUAGCUUUUCAUAGACAACUUGUUGACUAUGUUUAGUCAUGCGGCUUACUCGCUUGUGCUAUUUUACCUACGCUUAGGAUGUUGAAGAUGUAGCACAUCAU